rnacentral:lncRNA from 1 species
AUGCCUAAGAAACAACAACUCCAACAACAACAACAACAACAACAACAACAACAACAACAGCAGCAAAAACAAAAGCAUGACAAGAAUCAGCAAGAUGUCGAACUGAACCGGCUCGUCCGACACUCCCCUCUCCCUCCCCCUCACCACCCUCAGCUCCGGUCCCGCUCCCCGUCUCCAUCCUCCCCCAACGGUAGCGCCCUCGAACUGCCCAAUGUGCCAUCCUACCCACGCCUGCCGCCAAUUUUCAGCCCCCUAUCAAAACAGCCCAACUCACUGUCCCACCAGCUGUCAGGUCUCUCCAAUCCGGCAUUUUUCAUUGAAGAUGACUCAGACAUUUCCGCAAUAAGGCCCCCAGAGAGCUCUAGCCUCAGCCUUCGUCCAGCUGUCAAUGUAGAGGAUGUCGACUCAGAGCGUGAGAAGGGAGGGGCAGGAGGAGGAGGAGGAAGAAGAGGAGGAAGAGGGGAGGAACAGAGCAAUAUCCCCCAAAUUCUCACCACCCAGGACCCCAAACUUACCACUCUCACUGUCCCUGUGACCCCUUCCGUAGCUCGUCAAAGUAAAGGAGAUAAAGAGUAAGAAAACUGCAUGGAUUGUUUGAGUUGUAGUGCUUGUAAUUUCAUUAUUCUUUUUCUCCAUGUGAAACAACACACAUGCAUAGCUUUUAUUCAUUCAAAAAAAGAAAUGCAAAGUAACAUCCCUAGGAUAUGUUUUAGGGUACGUUCUCUGUUGGCAAGUGGAGUGUUUUUAUCCAAAAAUCAGAUCAAAUGAAAUAUUGUUAGCUGGCAAAAAAAAUAAAUAAAAUAAAAUUAGAAGAUUCUAGAUUACAAAAUACUUGCUCAUAAAAU